GACGAACGCUGGCGGCGUGCCUAACACAUGCAAGUCGAACGGGGUAGUUCCUUCGGGGACUACUUAGUGGCGAACGGGUGAGUAACGCGUGAGAAACCUGCCUUUCAGUGGGGGACAACAGUUGGAAACGACUGCUAAUACCGCAUAAUGUUUCGAGAGGGCAUCCUCUUGAAACCAAAGCUUUAUGUGCUGAAAGAUGGUCUCGCGUCUGAUUAGCUAGUUGGUGAGGUAACGGCUCACCAAGGCGACGAUCAGUAGCCGGUCUGAGAGGAUGAACGGCCACAUUGGGACUGAGAUACGGCCCAGACUCCUACGGGAGGCAGCAGUGGGGAAUAUUGGGCAAUGGGGGAAACCCUGACCCAGCAACGCCGCGUGAAGGAAGAAGGCCUUCGGGUUGUAAACUUACUUUUACCUAGGGACGAAGAACGUGACGGUACCUGGAGAAAAGACAACGGCUAACUACGUG
rnacentral:rRNA from 1 species